CGCUGAGGGAAUUGCCCCUCUCCGUGCCCCACUGCUUUCCCUUCCCAUAGUGAUCUCCAGACCCACCCACGUUGCUGCAAAGGACAGAACCCCAUUCAUUUCAUGACUGAAUACAGCGGGUGUGAGAAUGCAGAUGGCUCUGAAUUUGUGUUCAAAAGGCGUACGUAGGAUUGCUCCAGUUUAUCGAAAGUGCUUCUUCUUAGUAUGUUUGAUGAUGAAAGUCGGUGGAAGCUUCAGAGAGAGAUGGAUUUAAACAUUUUUACGCGGUUGCGUGGAGUCUUCACACCAACGCACUGAACUCAGAGACAGCUUUCAGGAGCUACAGCUUCCCCCUGUGGUUUCUCUGUGUGUGUUAAUGAAGGGCCCAGACCCUCACCCAGCCCCCUGCUUUGGCAGCCAUGACAGCUGCAAAAAAGACCCAGCAAGAUGUAGGCCCCUGACUCAGCAUCAUGAGCUGAGCCCUGGACCUUGACUGACCUUGCCCUAAUCACUAGGAAGCAACCACCAGAAACCCUUCACUUGUUAAUGAACCAACAAGAAGUUAGCUAGCAGGCUCUGGAUGCGUCUUACUGAUGACACUGAAAUGCAGGGCUUAGUAACUGCCCUGGGAGGGCCUCUAGGUACAGCAACCUUUCUGCAGCUACAGCUGACCAAUCAACUCAGGACAGGUUGCCCAAUGCCGGAGGUUCACCAAUCCUGAGACUGUUGCUAUGUAACUAGCGGACCCCCCAGACACUCUCCUUGCCCUACCCCAAUAUAUACCCUGCCCCAGGGACCUGAGUUAAUUCGAGUUAACUCUUAUAUUAAAAAGACUCUUUGGUUUUGCAUCGGAUCCGGUCUCUAGGUGGUUUUGGGGGCAGGGGGUGUUCAGAGUCUGGGCACAACGUUUUAGAAUACAGAAGCCCAAAAUGACCCUCAAAACCAAUAAUGAAAUGCCAGUGGUCUCAAUGUUCUCACAGAUGUGGUCCUCAUGGGACGCAAGGUAAUGCAGGGAAGUUUGUGUUGCUUUUAGUUUUUCUGGGAGCUGUAUGUUUCACAACUUUGAAUGGAAUGCUAAUCCUCAGGCCUCCGCUAGCCUGAGCCAUCCCUUCCACCAACUUGGACUGGAGCAGACUUCAAAGGCGGUAAGCAAAUUCUUCAAUUGCAAAACCUGUAAUCUAGGUCCCACUCCUUAAACUAUGACUCACAGACCCACAUGGAAUUGUGUAACAGAAGGUGACAGUCAUGACGUAACAGGAAAUGGUCCCUGAGCGCGCAACAAACAAAAAGUUCAAAAUCAGCAUCUAAUGAAUCUUAGAUGUUUCCAUCGUUGCUAGUCGGCGUUGUACAAAGUGCUGUCACACGAUGCCUUGCCACUCCUGCGGGUGAUGAACUGCAGCGCUUUAAUUGCAUAUAAGUGUUCCAUGCUUACAGAAACUACAAAAUACAAAGGCUUUGUUUUACUGCUGUUGCUCCUUGGCAUGUAAGAACCAAAUUAGACAGUAUUUAGAGCUCAUGGUAUCAAAAUGUUUGAUUUUUAAAAAAUUGUUCUUGUUUCUGACCUAGCUUCCUUUUAGAAGUUAAAUGAAUUUUGACUUGAGAUUAGGACAAAAUUUCAACCAAUGCCUGAAAUGGCCCUAAAUUUAUUUCUGGCAUCUUGUAUCAUAUGUUUCUGUGAAGUGUCAUUGUCAGCUUUGAUCCCUGAAAAGUCAAAGUAUGGAUAGGUUCUGAAAAGCAUUGAGGAUGCUCCCCAACCUGUGGUUUCAAAUAGUCAUCCAAGAUUUAAGUUUUUAUGUAAAAACAAGCAAGAUUACCUAUCUUGUUAGCAUAGAAAUUUUCUGCCUUUAAAAUUAUGUACAGAAGAAUUGUUUUGAAAUAAAUUUAUGAUUCAUCGUC